GGCGACGGCUUCAUCACCACCAGCGUCCUGCGUGAGAUCCUCAAGGAACUGGACAAACAAGCUCACUGAAGAUGAUCUGGACGCAGGGAUCAUCACGACAAUUGACGAGGAUGGCUCCGGGACCGUCGACUUCGAUGAGUUCAUGGAGAUGAUGACCGGGGAAUAAAACCUGACCUUAUCUGACCUGACCACAUCCUCUCUCGUCUUAUCUUGCAUGACCUCACCGCCUCUGAUGCCAACAAUCAGCACCAAAUGUCAUAUCUUCUAGUUGAUUUUCAAAGCAAUAAUUUUAUAACGAAAACAAAAAACUGUGUUUAUUCUCCUUUUUUAUAACGAAAACAAAAACUGUUUAAUCUCCUUUUUAUAAUAUAAAUGUGUUAUCAUGUACCCAUUUCACACAAAAGGGAAAUUCCUGUUCAGUUGUCUUAAAAAAUAAUAAUCUACACACCACUUAGUAAUACUGGUUUUCCUGCAAUAUAUAAAGACAGGUUCAUAUUCUAUUGAAGAUCAAGUUUUCAAUUAAAGACAGCAAUAUUUAGUAGAAUACAUGAACAAAAUCCCAAAAGUUUGGAUGUACAUUUGUCUAAUUUACAAUGUGUUUUAGUUAAUCACACACUGACAACUCAAGAUAAUGUCCAACUGACGAAUAAAAAGUUCAAUGACAAAGCAAAAAUAUCUCAGGUAGUGAAUCAUGUUUGUCAGGCACAUCAUUCAUCACACAUUACACAAUUUUCAUUACUAAGUAAUUUGCAAUUUUCUGGAUUAUCAAUGCAUAUUCUGGAUAUAAUGCAUAUUCUGGUUACCAUACUUUGGAAACGAGAUUCAUUUUCAAACUAGACCUUUUUUUAGCUCUAUCUAUUCAACACCUCAUUGGUGAUGCCAGUACGUUGGUUAAGAGAAUAUGACAGGCAGAUUUUUUCUUUCUUCAUACGUGUUGAACACGUAUAUUCCUUGGAUAUGUGCAAGCCGCUUUUGAAAAUGUUUGUAAUAUCUCCUUAAAUAUGCAACAUUUGCUAAAAGAAAAUACAAAUGUUUACAUUCAUA